CUGGUGUGGCGAUGCAUAUAGCUUCAGGCAUAGCUCACAGUUAGGCAGGGUAGCUGACACUAGGCAGGAUAGCUUGAUAGCCGUCCUCUCUCGAUUUCGUCAGGGACAUUUGCCUGUUCCGAAUGACGUUGCGACCUCGACCACUAUUUCGUGAUUAGGUACUUCGCGCGCGAUAAGGGUUGAAGUGUGGUUUUCUGUUAAGCGAAAUGUGGCUUCGAGGAAGCAAACGACAUGCGGCAUUGCCUCGUUAGCUCGAUAGCUUUGUUAGUGCUGCUGAACUUCUUCGGGCUGCAGGUCAGCGCUUCCUGCUGCAGCCAAUGUGAGUGGCCGUCAACCUUGUUGCACUUCAUGUGCGUGUGCGGGCAGUAUGUUUGCCCAUUACUGUGGUGCGCACCUCGCACACUUGGUUGAACGCGCCGCUCGCUUUGGUCGAGUUCUUGGAACACGGCCCGCGCACGCGUGCGAACCUCGUCACGAUCCCCUGUACCUGUGGGCUGCAAUACAUCGACGUGUGACCACGGCAGUCAUCCGAGCACCAGCACGUGAAUCCAUCGUUGCGGCGAGUAUCAUCCCAACAUUGCAAAUGAGAUGACAGGGGUAUUCCAGACUGGCGAGGUUGCAGUUUUGGUGUCUAAUCAGAGCCCCCACUUUUGGUGGCCGGCUGUUGCAGCCAUAUCGGGUCUUCUCCUUGACGAAAUCGAAGAGGACGGGGUACGGGGGUGGGGGGCGCGCCGCAUACAGCUUCAGCCUUAGCGAACACGAUAGGCAGGAUAUGACAGGUGUCCUCUUCCGAUUUCGCCGGGGAUAUUGAACCCGUUCCGAAUGUCUUUUGUGAAGCGACCACUAUUUCGUGUCGAGUAGCCCGCGCGCGAUUGUGCGCUCGAGCGGAAUGUGGUUUCGCGGAAGCAAACUGCAUUCGGAACUGCCUCGCCAGCUUUUGAUUAACCGUACUGUAGAACGUGCUGUUCACCUUACAGCGCGGUUUCAUUCCAGUUAUUGCUGCUUUUCCUGGCCGCUGUGUUUCUCAUGAUCCCGCUUAUUCACGGUGCUAUGCUUACCAUGCAGCUUUGAGGUUUACUUUCAGCCUUUUCUGCAAGUCCCGCCGACCUUCCAGGAGGAGUCCACGGAGCACCGCACAUUAUUUUGGACAUGGGCCGGCGGAUGUCCCGUUCCUGAACGAGCUAUGCAUCGAAGGUUGUCCAGCCCGAGUCUACGGUGGAGAUGGCGUUGAACACCACCCGUCCUGUCGCAGUGUCGGCAGCACUUCCACAUUCAACCGCCGAUACUCCUGUCAGCAGGAGGGACUUCAGUAAGCGCCGUAUGCUUUUCCGCGUCUGUCUUCCACUGCUAUCCGUGAGAAGGGGAUGAAGCUGGCUC
rnacentral:lncRNA from 1 species